rnacentral:rRNA from 1 species
GUACCCUUCUCUACGGAAUAGCCUCGGGAAACUGAGAGUAUUACCGUAUACGCCCUUCGGGGGAAAGAUUUAUCGGAGAAGGAUCAGCCCGCGUAAGAUUAGAUAGUUGGUGGGGUAAUGGCCUACCAAGUCUACGAUCUUUAGCUGGUUUUAGAGGAUGAUCAGCAACACUGGGACUGAGACACGGCCCAGACUCCUACGGGAGGCAGCAGUGGGGAAUCUUGGACAAUGGGCGCAAGCCUGAUCCAGCCAUGCCGCGUGUGUGAUGAAGGCCUUAGGGUCGUAAAGCACUUUCGCUAGAGAUGAUAAUGACAGUUUCUAGUAAAGAAGUCCCGGCUAACUCCGUGCCAGCAGCCGCGGUAAUACGGAGGGGACUAGCGUUGUUCGGAAUUACUGGGCGUAAAGCGUACGUAGUCGGAUCAGAAAGUAUGGGGUGAAAUCCCGGGUUUCAUCCCUGGAACUGCCUCAUAAACUCCUGGUCUAGAGUUCGAGAGAGGUGAGUGGAAUUCCGAGUGUAUAG